rnacentral:rRNA from 1 species
CAGCGCCACAAGUGGCAAUCACGUUUAUUGGGCCUAAAGCGUCCGUAGCCGGUUUAGCAAAUCUUUUGUGAAAUCGUCAGGCUUAACUUGACGAAUUGCAGAAGACACUACUAAACUAGGGACUGGGAGGAGUCAGAAGUAUUCUGGGGGGACCGGUAAAAUGGUAUAAUCCCCAGAGGACUACCGAUGGCGAAGGCAUCCGACCAGAACAGAUCCGACGGUGAGGGACGAAAGCCAGGGGAGCAAACCGGAUUAGAUACCCGCGUAGUCC